rnacentral:rRNA from 1 species
UACGUAGGGUGCAGGCGUUAAUCGGAAUUACUGGGCGUAAAGCGUGCGCAGGCGGUUUGCUAAGACAGGUGUGAAAUCCCCCGGGCUUAACCUGGGAACUGCGCUUGUAACUGGCAAGCUAGAGUGUGGCAGAGGGGGGUGGAAUUCCGACGUGUAGCAGUGAAAUGCGUAGAGAGUGUGGAGGAACACCGAUGGCGAAGGCAGCCCCCUGGGCUAA